rnacentral:rRNA from 1 species
UACGUAGGGUGCGAGCGUUAAUCGGAAUUACUGGGCGUAAAGCGUGCGCAGGCGGUUUUGUAAGCCAGAUGUGAAAUCCCCGGGCUCAACCUGGGCAUGGCAUUUGGGACUGCAAGGCUGGAGUACGGCAGAGGAGACUGGAAUUCCUGGUGUAGCAGUGAAAUGCGUAGAUAUCAGGAGGAAUACCGAUGGCGAAGGCAGGUCUCUGGGCUGAUACUGACGCUCAUGCACGAAAGCGUGGGGAGCAAACAGG